rnacentral:rRNA from 1 species
UACGUAGGGUGCAAGCGUUAAUCGGAAUUACUAGGCGUAAAGCGUGCGCAGGCGGUUUUGUAAGUCUGUCGUGAAAGCCCCGGGCUCAACCUGGGAAUUGCGAUGGAGACUGCAAGGCUUGAAUCUGGCAGAGGGGGGUAGAAUUCCACGUGUAGCAGUGAAAUGCGUAGAGAUGUGGAGGAACACCGAUGGCGAAGGCAGCCCCCUGGGCUAAGUUUGACGCUCAUGCACGAAAGCGUGGGGAGCAAACAGG